rnacentral:rRNA from 2 species
AAACUCUUAGCGGUGGAUCACUUGGCUCGUGGAUCGAUGAAGCACGCAGCUAGCUGCGAGAAUUAAUGUG